rnacentral:rRNA from 1 species
UGGCCUACGGGGGGCAGCAGUGGGGAAUAUUGGGCAAUGGGCGCAAGCCUGACCCAGCAACGCCGCGUGAAGGAAGAAGGCUUUCGGGUUGUAAACUUCUUUUAUGAGGGACGAAACAAAGGACGGUACCUCAUGAAUAAGCCACGGCUAACUACGUGCCAGCAGCCGCGGUAAUACGUAGGUGGCAAGCGUUAUCCGGAUUUAUUGGGUGUAAAGGGCGUGUAGGCGGGACUG